UAGGGAAUCUUCGGCAAUGGGGGCAACCCUGACCGAGCAACGCCGCGUGAGUGAAGAAGGUUUUCGGAUCGUAAAGCUCUGUUGUAAGUCAAGAACGAGUGUGAGAGUGGAAAGUUCACACUGUGACGGUAGCUUACCAGAAAGGGACGGCUAACUACGUGCCAGCAGCCGCGGUAAUACGUAGGUCCCGAGCGUUGUCCGGAUUUAUUGGGCGUAAAGCGAGCGCAGGCGGUUUGAUAAGUCUGAAGUUAAAGGCUGUGGCUCAACCAUAGUUCGCUUUGGAAACUGUCAAACUUGAGUGCAGAAGGGGAGAGUGGAAUUCCAUGUGUAGCGGUGAAAUGCGUAGAUAUAUGGAGGAACACCGGUGGCGAAAGCGGCUCUCUGGUCUGUAACUGACGCUGAGGCUCGAAAGCGUGGGGAGCGAACAGGAUUAGAUACCCUGGUAGUCCACGCCGUAAACGAUGAGUGCUAGGUGUUGGGUCCUUUCCGGGACUCAGUGCCGCAGCUAACGCAUUAAGCACUCCGCCUGGGGAGUACGACCGCAAGGUUGA
rnacentral:rRNA from 1 species